rnacentral:rRNA from 1 species
AUGGCUCCUGUACAACUGGACAGUUUGGACAAGGAGGAAGGAUUGACACAUUUUUCUGCCGCUUGGAGGAGAGAAACAAGGGGACAGGAUGGUUUGUCAGCCAUCGUGGAGGCUUCUGAAACCCACGUAAACCACCUGUACGUGAACCGGGGUACUUCCAUUGACUUGUAUAAGUUCCGCAAGUACAGUAACCAACAAGGAUGGAAACAUGGGCACAUCUUUCAUGGAAGCAAUAGGGAAGAUCUUUCCUUCGAGGGGGGAAUGAUACAAGAUAUCAAGGCUCUAGAUAACACUAAUACAAGGGAAGCUAUGUUUUUAGUCAAGGCAGCAAAUCAGUGGGUGAGUGUAGAGGAUACGAUGGUGAGAAGUUCAACAACGCUGAAUCAUAUUGGAAUUCUAAAACCCUUUGUUGGAGGCUUCAAUACCCAGAUAUCUGAAGUCGUCUGCGGAUUUACUUCGAUUAUUAAUUCUUCUCUGACCGAUUGGUUAACGAGCAAACAACCAUCAGACAAAAGGACAUCUAUCCCUGUUGAAGUGCAGCAGUUGAUCAGCAAUAAAUUGCCUUCUUACUGUGUACCGUUCCUG